UACGAAGGGUGCAAGCGUUACUCGGAAUUACUGGGCGUAAAGCGUGCGUAGGUGGUUUGUUAAGUCUGAUGUGAAAGCCCUGGGCUCAACCUGGGAAUGGCACUGGAUACUGGCAAGCUAGAGUGUGGCAGAGGGUAGUGGAAUUCCUGGUGUAGCAGUGAAAUGCGUAGAGAUCAGGAGGAACAUCCGUGGCGAAGGCGACUGCCUGGGCCAACACUGACACUGAGGCACGAAAGCGUGGGGAGCAAACAGGAUUAGAAACCCCCGUAGUCC
rnacentral:rRNA from 1 species